rnacentral:rRNA from 1 species
UCGAGAAUUUUUCACAAUGGGCGCAAGCCUGAUGGAGCGACGCCGCGUGGGGGAUGAAGGGUUUCGAUCCGUAAACCCCUGUCAUUUGCGAACAAACCUUAUUCAAUAACACUGAAUGAGCUGAUUGUAGUGAAAGAGGAAGGGACGGCUAACUCUGUGCCAGCAGCCGCGGUAAUACAGAGGUCCCAAGCGUUGUUCGGAUUCACUGGGCGUAAAGGGUGCGUAGGUGGCCAGGUAAGUUUGGUGUGAAAGCUCGGAGCUUAACUCCGAAAAGUCAUUGAAUACUAUCUGGCUGGAGGGUCGGAGGGGAGACUGGAAUUCUCGGUGUAGCAGUGAAAUGCGUAGAUAUCGAGAGGAACACCAGUGGCGAAGGCGAGUCUCUGGACGACUCCUGACACUGAGGCACGAAAGCUAGGGGAGCAAAC